rnacentral:misc_RNA from 1 species
AACGCACAUUGCGCCCGCCAGUAUUCUGACGGGCAUGCCUGUUCGAGCGUCAUUUACACCCCUCGGGCCACUUCUGCGGUCCGGUGUUGGGGCGUUGCGCGGCACCCCCGCGCAAGCCCUGAAAUACAGUGGCGGGCCGUCCCGCGUCUCCUUUGCGUAGUCACCAUACCUCGCUCUGGGACGUGGCCGGUUUCUAGCCGUGAAACCCCCCUUUUUUACAAGGUUGACCUCGGAUCAGGUAGGGAUACCCGCUGAACUUAA